rnacentral:rRNA from 1 species
GAUGAACGCUGGCGGCGUGCUUAACACAUGCCAGUCGAACGGAAAGGCCGAAGCUUGCUUCGGUACUCGAGUGGCGAACGGGUGAGUAACACGUGGGUGAUCUGCCCUGUACUUCGGGAUAAGCUUGGGAAACUGGGUCUAAUACCGGAUAUGACAAUCUCUUGGAUGGGGUUGUGGAAAGCUUUUGCGGUAUGGGAUGAGCUCGCGGCCUAUCAGCUUGUUGGUGGGGUAAUGGCCUACCAAGGCGUCGACGGGUAGCCGGCCUGAGAGGGUGUACGGCCACAUUGGGACUGAGAUACGGCCCAGACUCCUACGGGAGGCAGCAGUGGGGAAUAUUGCACAAUGGGCGCAAGCCUGAUGCAGCGACGCCGCGUGGGGGAUGACGGCCUUCGGGUUGUAAACUCCUUUCGCAACCGACGAAGCUUUUGUGACGGUAGGUUGAGAAGAAGCACCGGCUAACUACGUG